rnacentral:tRNA from 1 species
CCCUUGGUAGCUCAGUUGGAAGAGCGUGAGACUGUAAUGAGCAAUCUAAAAUCUCAAGGUCAAUGGUUCGAACCCGUUCCGAGGGA